AGACCCGAAACCCGGUGAUCUAGCCAUGGGCAGGUUGAAGGUUGGGUAACACUAACUGGAGGACCGAACCGACUAAUGUUGAAAAAUUAGCGGAUGACCUGUGGCUGGGGGUGAAAGGCCAAUCAAACCGGGAGAUAGCUGGUUCUCCCCGAAAGCUAUUUAGGUAGCGCCUCGUGAAUUCAUCUCCGGGGGUAGAGCACUGUUUCGGCCAGGGGGCCAUCCCGGCUUACCAAUCCGAUGCAAACUGCGAAUACCGGAGAAUGUUAUCACGGGAGACACACGGCGGGUGCUAACGUCCGUCGUGAAGAGGGAAACAACCCAGACCGCCAGCUAAGGUCCCAAAGUCAUGGUUAAGUGGGAAACGAUGUGGGAAGGCCCAGACAGCCAGGAUGUUGGCUUAGAAGCAGCCAUCAUUUAAAGAAAGCGUAAUAGCUCACUGGUCGAGUCGGCCUGCGCGGAAGAUGUAACGGGGCUAAACCAUGCACCGAAGCUGCGGCAGCGAACGUAUCACCCAAGACAACUUUGCACAGUUGACGAUUGACGGAGCGAAGCGACGUCAAAGCGUUUUACAACGUCGAGUUGGCUUAGGGAUACGUUCGUUGGGUAGGGGAGCGUUCUGUAAGCCGUUGAAGGUGGCCUGUGAGGGUUGCUGGAGGUAUCAGAAGUGCGAAUGCUGACAUA
rnacentral:rRNA from 1 species